rnacentral:rRNA from 1 species
UACAGAGGUGGCAAGCGUUAAUCGGAAUUACUGGGCGUAAAGCGUGCGCAGGCGGUCUUGCAAGACAGAUGUGAAAUCCCCGGGCUCAACCUGGGAACUGCAUUUGUGACUGCAAGGCUGGAGUGCGGCAGAGGGGGAUGGAAUUCCGCGUGUAGCAGUGAAAUGCGUAGAUAUGCGGAGGAACACCGAUGGCGAAGGCAAUCCCCUGGGCCUGCACUGACGCUCAUGCACGAAAGCGUGGGGAGCAAACAGG